rnacentral:lncRNA from 1 species
CGUUAAGCACAGCAACAAAUCAGAGCAGAUGUGGCUCAAUGAAACCAUCCCACAGCUCAGGAUGAGUGAGGUGGUUACAAACAGCUUUGAAUAUGUGUAUGCUUGUGUACAACAUAGCCGAACAAACCUCCACUGCUGUUUGUGCUGCAGAACAGAUGACUUGGAAAAGGCUCUCGAAGUUCUGGGACUUCACCCUGACAAGUUCUGGAUUUGAACAUCCCCAAGUCUCGAGGCUGCCUGCUGCCUGGCGUGGGCUUAUCUCUGCAGGAGGCAAGCUGAAGUGCUCCGUGCCAUUGCCAUGCCUUUUAAAUACCCCACUGAAAAUGAUACCUGUUGUCCCUCCACAUGGGAGCUUGUACUCAGAGAGAUCACGGUGACAGAAAACAGCCUUUUUAAAAUGAGGAGCUGUACAGUGGUAACAGCAGGACCAGUGAAGCUUAAGAGAAGAGGAUGCAUUAAAUGAAAUGGGUCCCUGUGAGUUACCUGUGUUGCCUGGGGCUCAAGCUGGUAUGCUUUGCACGGAGACAAGCUGCUGGGCUUCAGAGGAUGCUUUGCACCCUGGCAGACACAUUGCUCCAGCUCUCCUCAUUUUGCUGUGAGCCUUUGCAAUUCAAAUUUUUUUUUCAUUUUGCUUUUAUUGUCUAAAUCCACUGAACUGAAGUCCAGAAAACAGGAAGUUCAUCAGGACGUUGGGGUAGAUACUGAAAUGGCUGGCUCUUUGUUGCCUCUUGUUGUUUAUUUAGAAGACAUGGGAAGGAAUUAUGUAUUAUCUGACAAAUUUGCCAAUAAAUAUAUCCAGUAGGCAAACA